AUAAAAGCUUUUUUGAAAGCUACCAAACACACAAGAGAGAUUUACU
rfam:Heterocephalus glaber contig218303, whole genome shotgun sequence.